GAGUAAUUGUGGGAAGCAUCUGCAUUUUCUUUAUUCUGUUGCUGAUCAGCACGUACCCCAAGAACUAAAAAUAAGCCACAGGAGGUGAGGCUUGUUGGAAGCCGAGUAACUGGGUAUUUUCUCAAAGAUCAAACCUCCUUGAUUUGGAGAAGAAGGUGUCUUGGGCUCACAGUGUGUGAUUCCAAUACUCAGAGACAAAGUCUCCACUAUCUUGCCUGGCCCAGCACCAAACUCUUGGACACAAGUGAUUCUCUCGUGUCAGUCUCUGAGUUGUGGACACUACAGACAGGCACCAACGCUUCUCUACAGUGUCAUCCUGGGGACCCAGCCUUGACCACAUGAGCUGUUGGAGAACAUUCAGCAUCCAAACUGCAGAACCAGAGGAUCAUCGUGUCUCAGUCAUGUCUUCCGUGGGUCCCAUUUAUACAGAGUAGAUUCCAAAUCAACUAUAGACUGCUCCAACGACUCACCAGCCCCAGCUGUUUCCUUGGAAUCUACAUCCUGGUCCAGCCUCACAGACUACAUUCCCCUAGCCUCAGAUGAUGGUCCCACAGAACCUGGACAUUGAAUGGCAUAGCCUGUUCUUCCUGACCUUGAUCUACAUUCCAGAUUCCUUGGGUCCCUAACAAGGAAGCCCCAGUGUCAGUAGGAAGCAGGCAGGGAGAAUGAUGCCCACUUGCUCAAUACCUAACGACCCAAUAAUCAAAAGGUGGGAAAGAAGGGCUCCAGCAGGCCCG